AGUCAGCCCAUCUAAUUAAACUCACCAAGCUCUUCCAUCCCUUAGUCAUAACAGGUAAAUACCCAAACAAGAUUAUUUCUUCAAAGUUAAUUAAUAAAAAGGUUGAAAAAAUAAGAAAAAAGAAUGGACCAUUGGAUGAAAAAAUAGGCAUCACACCAGCUUAUCAAACAACAUAAUUAAGAAUAUAUAUAUCGCAUUGCUAUUGUGGCCACUCAUAAGAAAUGCACCCAAUUGAAUGAUUUGAAUAAAAGCAACUAAAAGUUAGUUUUAAGGACUAAGGUGCACUUGGGAUGACAGCAAAUUGCAUCAAAACUUCCCUUUUAUGGAUUGACUGAGCAAGUCAUGAAUGAGGAAUCUUGGUAAGGUUCUACAUCACAAUAAGACAUUGAGAUUGAAAUUGCUUUGUCAAAAUUUAUCCAUUUAGAUGAUGUUGCAUAAAGUCAUUUGAAACUAUUGUGUAUCUGUUUUGGAAUUUUUAUGACUAAAACAUGUCA
rnacentral:misc_RNA from 1 species